GCACGGGAGCGAACUGCGCAUGCCCCGGCCGCAAAACUGGUCUUCCGGGAUCUGGAAGCGCACGGGGCUGCUGCGCUGGCUUCCAGCGCUGAACCCUGGGGCCCCAAACCAGUGUCUGUCACAGUGCAAGGCCGAUCCAUUCUGAGUUCAGAAAAUAAGGUGUGGCAGGCCGGCAGAAGACCUGAAGAGGGGCCGCCUGAUACCUCCUGGUGCUGUUGGCUUUGGCAUCUUUCCACCGCCCGUCCGCAGUCAUCCUCCUCUCUCUCUUCCUGCAAACGCUGACAGCUGUUAGUGCUUUCAGAAAUGGUCUCGUAUGUGUGGUUUGCUCUAUACAACAUUAAGAGUAGUCCUGAUAAUUCUCUGAAAAAAACCUGUGAGUUUACUGAGGAAAUGCUGUGAAAAGAGAAAGUACAUACUGCAACUUCAAGGAUCUAUUUAUUUGAAGGAUGUCAGAGUUUGCUCCAAUAUUCCAUUUUAAGUCUUUCCAGUAAUGCAGGUAUGUACAAAUUUAUCAGUCUGAAGACUUUGUCUUCACUUUUAAUAUUACUAUUAUGAUACCAAAAGAAAAAAAAAAGGAGUGCAACUAAUUGCAAGUCAAAUUCUCCAGAGUAGCAUUUAGGUACUACUUUACUAGCAGAAUGUAUUAGUUAAUUUGUUUUGUGAGUCCUGGGCUGGGAGAAUUAC
rnacentral:lncRNA from 1 species